UUCCUAUUACACAUCCUAGCAUAGAGCCACAAUUCUUCACAGAAUCCCAAAGCAGUACCUGAAGGGAAAAUGUGGAUUUGUCUUUGGAGUUACAUCACCAAGCCUUUGGCAAGUUUUUAACAAAACUGGGAUUUUCUUGUAUAUAGAGAAGGCUCCAGACCCUCCCUUGCUCUCCCCAGAUUCUAGAAAUUCUCAGGGACUCAUCCAGAGAAGGAAACAGCCAGAAGAUCCUAUGAAGACAAGGUGAAACCAAACAUGCUGUGUUCACCGCAGUUUUAAUAAGGAUGGAAUGCAGUGUCUAUUCCUAGGCCUGAGCACGGUGCACUGAAGCCUUGAAACUUCUGGGCUCAAAUGAUUCUCCUGCCUCAACCUACUGAGUAGCCCGCCACAUCUGGGUUGUUUCCGACUUUUCAAUAUUAUAAACAAUAUUGCAAUAAACACACAUUUCUAUAAAUA